rnacentral:rRNA from 1 species
UCAUCUGUUGCCAGCAUUUAAGGUGGGGACUCAGAUGAGACUGCCGGUGACAAACCGGAGGAAGUGGGGACGACGUCAAGUCAUCAUGGCCCUUAUGUCCUGGGCUACACACGUGCUACAAUGGCCGGUACAGAGUGAAGCGAAACCGCGAGGUGAAGCAAAACGCAGAAAGCCGGUCUCAGUACGGAUUGGAGUCUGAAACUCGACUUCAUGAAGUUGGAAUCGCUAGUAAUCGCGCAUCAGCAUGGCGCGGUGAAUACGUUCCCGGGCCUU